rnacentral:tRNA from 1 species
AAUACUAAGCCGGACUAUAACGGAUAACAUUGAUGUUGUUAAUUAUGAUAAUACAUCUAGUAUUU